rnacentral:misc_RNA from 1 species
GAUGAAGAACGUAGCGAAAUGCGAUACGUAAUGUGAAUUGCAGAAUUCAGUGAAUCAUCGAAUCUUUGAACGCACAUUGCGCCUGCCAGCACUCUGGCAGGCAUGCCUGUUCGAGCGUCAUUUCAACCAUCAAGCCCUAGGCUUGCGUUGGAGCCCUGCGGCUGCCGCAGGCCCCUAAAAGCAGUGGCGGGCUCGCUAUCACACCGAGUGCAGUAGAUUACUCUUCGCUCAGGGCGUGUGGCGGGUUCCAGCCGUGAACCCCCCUACUUCUCAAGGUUGACCUCGGAUCAGGUAGGAAUACCCGCUGAACUUAAGCAUAUCAAUAAGCGGAGGA